GGCAGAUCUGACAGAGAGUUCCUUUAUCAAAUUCUGGGGGAAGUGAUAAAGGCUGGGGCAACUACUCUCAACAUACCAGAUACUGUGGGUUAUACAAUGCCUCUCGAAUUUGGCAAGUUGAUUGCUGAUAUAAAAUCUAAUACUCCUGGCAUUGAAAAUGUUAUCAUUUCAACACACUGCCAGAAUGAUCUUGGUCUUGCAACUGCCAACACAGUAUCAGGGGCAUGCGCAGGUGCAAGGCAAGUUGAGGUCACAAUUAAUGGCAUUGGUGAGAGAGCUGGAAAUGCUUCGCUAGAGGAGGUGGUAAUGGCCUUACAAUGUCGUGGAGAGCAUGUG
rnacentral:misc_RNA from 1 species